rnacentral:rRNA from 1 species
UACGUAGGGCGCAAGCGUUGUCCGGAAUUAUUGGGCGUAAAGAGCUCGUAGGCGGUUUGUCGCGUCUGCUGUGAAAUCCCGAGGCUCAACCUCGGGCUUGCAGUGGGUACGGGCAGACUAGAGUGCGGUAGGGGAGACUGGAAUUCCUGGUGUAGCGGUGGAAUGCGCAGAUAUCAGGAGGAACACCAAUAGCGAAGGCAGCUCGCUGGGACGGUACUGACGCUGGAGGCGCGGAAAGCGUGGGGAGCGAACAGG